GGAUGGAAGUUACAAGAGUGAACCAGCAUUUAUCCAAGUUUGGUGGAGAGACCUCUUCUUCAUACUCACCAUCACAAAGCUGAGCCUGAGAUAUUUCAGAAGCUGAACUUGGGGACAGAAGAUCUGAAAGAGCAAAACUGAAGAAUUCCUUAAUGUUUCACCAAAAAUCCUACCUUGUGGAGGAGAGAAUCUCAAAGUAUUGCCUCCUCCCCUAAAGAAGUUCUACAGUCAACUUAAAGAGAACCUCAUAACUGUUGAAUUUUGCUCCUGGUAGAGCUACUAGUUUCUUCUUAAAAUCAUAUUUUUUGAGGUUGAUUCCAGUGGAAGAAAAAUCCUUCUCAAAGUGGAAUAGGCCUGCUGGACACCAAGCUCACUGACAGCUUUGCUUAUUUUAUGGACAUAUUACACCAAGCUAAGACUUUGCCAUCUGUUCUGACACCAAUUGUAAAUGGAGAAAUCCCACACCAACCAAACAAAAAGAACAAAUCACAAGAACAUCAAGGAUAUAAAAGUGAUUUAACUGCCUGUAUAUGCUCCACUAACAAUGCAGCUUGCACUGAAGAUGUUCUUUCUCAUGAUUCCGACACAAAUCACAAGGAAAACAGUUCACACACAACACGGCAGUAAGGUACAAUGUGUUGUGCCCACAGCCUUGAAAAUACUACAGUGGCUAACAGCAAUUUACAGGAACAGCCUUUAAGAAGCAAGCAAGGAAGGAAAAGAAUACAGGAAUUGCUGCUGACCUCCUCAGAGGGCAUACUCCUCAUACUCCUCGAGUGUAUGUAAAUACACUGAAGCAAACAACAACUGCAUGGAAUAUGGGAAUAUGGGAGGUAUGUUGACCUGUGUAUUGGGAAGGGUUAUGGUAGCUACAGGAUUUGCUUCUGAAGGGAAAGCCUUUCCCUAUAGUGCUGGUAGGAAGAUGUGUCUUCAUUUCAUGGCAAAUAAGAGCAAGUUAGCUUAAAAUACCUUGCACAAGGCUGAAUGGAAACAAAUGGAACUUCAGGGUUUAAUUUUAAAAAUUUAUUAUAUU